AUGAACGCUGGCGGCGUGCCUAAUCCAUGCCAGUCGAGCGAACAGACGAGGAGCUUGCUCCUCUGACGUUAGCGGCGGACGGGUGAGUAACACGUGGAUAACCUACCUAUAAGACUGGGAUAACUUCGGGAAACCGGAGCUAAUACCGGAUAAUAUAUUGAACCGCAUGGUUCAAUAGUGAAAGACGGUUUUGCUGUCACUUAUAGAUGGAUCCGCGCCGCAUUAGCUAGUUGGUAAGGUAACGGCUUACCAAGGCAACGAUGCGUAGCCGACCUGAGAGGGUGAUCGGCCACACUGGAACUGAGACACGGUCCAGACUCCUACGGGAGGCAGCAGUAGGGAAUCUUCCGCAAUGGGCGAAAGCUUGACGGAGCAACGCCGCGUGAGUGAUGAAGGUCUUCGGAUCGUAAAACUCUGUUAUUAGGGAAGAACAAAUGUGUAAGUAACUAUGCACGUCUUGACGGUACCUAAUCAGAAAGCCACGGCUAACUACGU
rnacentral:rRNA from 1 species